GAAGAUUGUAUGGGGGCUUCAUUAUUGGAGUCAGAGAGCGCUUUCAUAGCUCAUAGUGGGAGGCUUCCGGUGCCCCCAGAAGAGAGGGGAGGGGCUUCGCUAUCAGCAAGAGAACGACGCAGACUAAAGAAAGAACAAGCCAAUAUGUGGCCUCCAUCAGCAGACUCCCCACCAGAGCAGAACCUCAGCGUGAGGAUCCAGAUGAGGAGGCGGAGCUACAACACACACCCCACAGGUGUGUGUGAGGACAGACUGGACUCAGAGGAAAGUGUUGCUCAGCUACCAUGGUUACGCUCGGAGUCUGCAGCCAAUCAGAGAAGCCAGCAAAAGGAAUGGAAGCAGG